GUAGGUGAACCUGCGGAAGGAUCAUUACCAAAAAAUCCAAUUACCAACCCCUUUUUGUGAACUUUCAGAAUGUAUUUGGGAGAUGUUUGGGUCUGGAGAGGUAUCCCCUCUUCCUUCACAAAGCUCCCAAUUUUUUUAUUAACCACUUGGCCUUUGUUGGUGGGACUAAAGGGGCAACUCUUUUAUUCUACUUAUUGGGGGUUCAAUACCAAUUUCUUUUUUUUUAUUACAUAAACAAAAAUUUAAAAGUUUAAAAAACAACUUUUAACGGUGGAUCUCUUGGCUCGU
rnacentral:misc_RNA from 1 species